GUGGUAGUGGACUAGGAGGCAUAGCCAGGUGCGUGUGUUAGUGGUGGUGGACUAGGAGGCAUAGCCAGGUGCGUGUGUUAAUGGUAGUGGACUAGGAGGCAUAGCCAGGUGCGUGUGUUAGUGGUGGUGGACUAGGAGGCAUAGCCAGGUGCGUGUGUUAGUGGUGGUGGACUAGGAGGCAUAGCCAGGUGCGUGUGUUAGUGGUAGUGGACUAGGAGGCAUAGCCAGGUGCGUGUGUACUGUAUCUGUCUGUCUGUCUGUCAGU